AUGCACACAUACAUUCCUGUCGAAGUCCAAGCUG
rnacentral:piRNA from 1 species